GACGAACGCUGGCGGCGUGCUUAACACAUGCAAGUCGAACGGAGGAGCGAGUGCUUGCCCUCGCGGAUCAUUGGCGAACGGGUGAGUAACACGUGAGUAACAUCCCCAUCACUCAGGGAUAAGCACUGGAAACGGCGUCUAAAACAGGAGACAACCUACCCUUCCACGGGGUGCUGGUGGGAAGAUUUCUCGGUGUUGGAUGGACUCGCGGCCUAGCAGCUUGUUGGCGGGGUAAUGGCGCACCAAGGCGACGACGGGUAGCCGGCCUGAGAGGGUGACCGGCCACACUGGGCCUGAGACAGGGCCCAGACUCCUACGGGACGCAGCAGUGGGGAAUAUUGCACAAUGGGCGCAAGCCUGAUGCGGCGACGCCGCGUGAGGGAUGACCGCCUUCGGGUUGUAAACCUCUUUCAGCGGGGAAGAAGCGAUAGUGACGGUACCUGCAGAAGAAGCCCCGGCUAACUACGUG
rnacentral:rRNA from 1 species